AUACCAGGUAACUGGGGCCACCCCCUAGACAGACCCGAGCCUCUAGGGGGACACCAAACAACUGCCGCUAGCACACAGCAGCGCCUGCCUAUCUACGCCCGGCCCUCAACGAUCUUUGCCCUGGGUGUGCUGCGACCUGGGGAGCCGGGACGCUGCCCAAUGAAACAGGGACACACUUCACUCUGUAAAGGCCCCUUGGGACUUGGGAGGGUGCCCUGGGUGAGAUGUCGGGGGACACUAGUCACGCAGGGAGCCCAUGAGAAGGGGAUGUUCGAACACUCGGGGCGGG